AGAUUGAACGCUGGCGGCAUGCCUUACACAUGCAAGUCGAACGGUAGAGUAGCAAUACUUGAGAGUGGCGAACGGGUGAGUAAUAUAUCGGAACGUGCCCAGUCGUGGGGGAUAACGUAGAGAAAUUUACGCUAAUACCGCAUACGAUCUAAGGAUGAAAGCGGGGGACUCGCAAGAGCCUCGCGCGAUUGGAGCGGCUGAUAUCAGAUUAGGUUGUUGGUGAGGUAAAAGCUCACCAAGCCGACGAUCUGUAGCUGGUUUGAGAGAACGACCAGCCACACUGGGACUGAGACACGGCCCAGACUCCUACGGGAGCAGCAGGUGGGGAAUUUUGG
rnacentral:rRNA from 1 species